AUUGAACGCUGGCGGCAGGCCUAACACAUGCAAGUCGAACGAGUGGCGGACGGGUGAGUAAUGUCUGGGAAACUGCCUGAUUGAGGGGGAUAACUACUGGAAACGGUAGCUAAUACCGCAUACCAUCAGAUGUUCCCAGAUGGGAUUAGCUAGUUGGUGGGGUAACGGCUCACCAAUGCGACGAUCCCUAGCUGGGCUGCGUGGAUGACCGGCGACACGGGAACUUAGACACGGUCAAGACGCCUAGGGGCGGCAGAGGUGGGGAAUAUGGCACAAUGGGCGCAAGCCUGAUGCAGUCAUGCAGCGUGGAUGCAGAAGGCCUUCGGGUUGUAAAGUACUUUCAGCGGGGAGGCGUUACCCGCAGAAGAAGCACCGGCUAACUCCGUGCCAGCAGCCGCGGUAAUAC
rnacentral:rRNA from 1 species